rnacentral:rRNA from 1 species
GACGAACGCUGGCGGCGUGCCUAAUACAUGCAAGUCGAGCGCAGGAAACUGACGGAACUCUUCGGAGGGAAGGCAGUGGAAUGAGCGGCGGACGGGUGAGUAACACGUAAGGAACCUGCCUCAAGGAUUGGGAUAACUCCGAGAAAUCGGAGCUAAUACCGGAUAGUUCAACGGACCGCAUGGUCCGCUGAUGAAAGGCGCUCCGGCGUCACCUUGAGAUGGCCUUGCGGUGCAUUAGCUAGUUGGUGGGGUAACGGCCCACCAAGGCGACGAUGCAUAGCCGACCUGAGAGGGAGAUCGGCCACACGGGGACUGAGACACGGCCCAGACUCCUACGGGAGGCAGCAGUAGGGAAUCUUCCACAAUGGACGAAAGUCUGAUGGAGCAACGCCGCGUGAGUGAUGAAGGUUUUCGGAUCGUAAAACUCUGUUGUAAGGGAAGAACACGUACGAGAGGAAAUGCUCGUACCUUGACGGUACCUUACGAGAAAGCCACGGCUAACUACGUGCCAGCCGCCGCUGUAAAAC